CAGCUCAAUAGCGUAUAUUAAAGUUGUUGUGGUUAAAAAGCUCGUAGUUGAACCUUGGGCCUGGCUGGCCGGUCCCCCUCACCGGGUGCACUGAUCCAGCCGGGCCUUUCCCUCUGUGGAACCCCAUGGCCUUCACUGGCCGUGGCGGGGAAACAGGACUUUUACUUUGAAAAAAUUAGAGUGCUCCAGGCAGGCCUAUGCUCGAAUACAUUAGCAUGGAAUAAUAGAAUAGGACGUGUGGUUCUAUUUUGUUGGUUUCUAGGACCGCCGUAAUGAUUAAUAGGGACAGUCGGGGGCAUCAGUAUUCAAUUGUCAGAGGUGAAAUUCUUGGAUCUAUUGAAGACUAACUACUGCGAAAGCAUUUGCCAAGGAUGUUUUCAUUGAUAAGGAACGAAAGUUAGGGGAUCGAAGACGAUCAGAUACCGUCGUAGUCUUAACUAUAAACUAUGCCGACUAG
rnacentral:rRNA from 1 species